ensembl:lncRNA
CAUACACGGUACCUGUGUUUGGGUGAGGACUAAGAUACCUAACUAAAUAAUUGCUUGAUGUAGACUAAGUUAGUUGUUUGCUGUCUAGCUCUGCAGCAUCUUAACAUAGACCUCCUUUAGAUGUUGUUGUUGUUGUUGUCAAUGUUUUUGUAUUAUGUGUUUAGUCAUGGCACCAGGGAAUGUCACCUUUAUUGUUCCUGGAAGCAGUCAGCCUGUCGUGGUGUGGGUGUCUAGACCUGGUUUUGUGCAGCGGUCCUUGUGUCACCAGAGAGCAAGACUUGCUUUUGUGUGUUUGUCAUCAGGGAGUGGGUGAAGUAUCUGUUUACAGGCUGCAGAGUGCUCUUGCUGCACUCACAGGACCUGCUCUAGCCACAUAAGCAGCCGCUGUGAGUUGGGGUCUCAAUUUACUGUUGAUAGUUAGAAUAAUAACAUACACAAAGUGCAAUUUGGUCAAAAUUUGGUUGUGCAUCAGCAGUUUUUCUCUCAUUAUGUAUGUCACUGACAGUCACUCAAAUAAAUCCAGUAUGUCAGCUAAAAAUGAUUAGAUUGGUAAAUUAUCCUAGCCAGGUAUCUAAACUUGUAGUAAUCAUGGUGGAAUACCGACCAGGCAUGCAGGGCAUGUGCCCAGGGGCUCUGACCACCAGUGAUCCCAAAUUGAUUUUGUUAGUCACUCUCACUCAGAUAUCAUAUUACCAUGACAUAACUCAUGGUAAAAGUGUAGAUUUGCAAGAAAAUAAUCUUUAAACUUGCAAAAAUAUCUCUCCACCCUCUAAUCGGGAAAUGUAAGAUUAAUAAAGUUAACAUUCAGUUAAUAGUAAUUAAGACAAUGCUUAGCAGAUGUAUAUGUUUUCAUUUUCUAUACACAUGAUUUCCAGUGUUCUAUGUGGCACUCAUUUAUGUACAUGUUGAUGGUCACUAGACUUGAUGCAGAAUGUUAUGGAUUGUUCUCAUAUCUGUUGAUAAGGGUUGACGCCAGACUGGAGGUACAAGGACCAAGGACACUGGUUGCUAUUGUUUUCUGUGAUUCUGUAGUAGUUGAUGUUGUGACUUCCUACAAGUCUCUCGGCAGGUGUUUACAAAUCAUUCCCACUCGGCACAGACGUCAGUUCAUCGUUUAGUUUUGAUUUACAUUUGGUUGAUUUGUCAACUAACAUGAAUUCAACAAAAAUGUCACCAUGUCAUUGGAUUUAGGAUAAAAGUUGGGUGAAAAAAAUGCAAAAUUCCCUUACCUUAAUGCCUUUUUUCAAAUCCAAUCAGUUUCCACCUUGAUUCAUUGUCAUCAAACCAGUUUUUGCCCAGUGGCUUGGUGCUGUUAGAUUAUAAUAUAAGGGCCUGCUUAGGCGAGUUAGACAUUUUCUGUGCUCUAAUGCUGGAUGUUGUCUCCCUGUGGCAACUUGUAUUAAACCAUAUUGGUUUUGUUUGACUUUA